rnacentral:rRNA from 1 species
UACAGAGGUCCCAAGCGUUGUUCGGAUUCAUUGGGCGUAAAGGGUGCGUAGGCGGCGCGGUAAGUCGGGUGUGAAAUCUCGGGGCUUAACUCCGAAACUGCAUUCGAUACUGCCGUGCUUGAGGACUGGAGAGGAGACUGGAAUUCCUGGUGUAGCGGUGAAAUGCGCAGAUAUCAGGAGGAACACCGGUGGCGAAGGCGACUGCCUGGACCAGCACUGACACUGAGGCACGAAAGCGUGGGGAGCAAACAGG